GACGGAGGGUGCAAGCGUUGUUCGGAUUGACUGGGCGUAAAGGGCGUGUAGGCGGUUGGUCAAGUCCGAUGUGAAAGCCCGGGGCUCAGCUUCGGAAGUGCAUCGGAAACUAGCCAGCUAGAGUAUCGGAGAGGUUGGUGGAAUUCUCGGUGUAGAGGUGAAAUUCGUAGAUAUCGAGAGGAACACCGGUGGCGAAGGCGGCCAACUGGACGAAUACUGACGCUGAGACUCGAAAGCGUGGGGAGCAAACAGG
rnacentral:rRNA from 1 species